rnacentral:rRNA from 1 species
GAGUUUGAUCGUGGCUCAGAUUGAACGCUGGCGGCAUGCCUAACACAUGCAAGUCGAACGGCAGCGCGGGGGCAACCCUGGCGGCGAGUGGCGGACGGGUGAGGAACACAUAGGAAUCUACCUCAACGUGGGGGAUAACGUAGGGAAACUUACGCUAAUACCGCAUACGACCGAGAGGGGAAAGCGGCGGACCGCAAGGCGUCGCGCGGUGAGAUGAGCCUAUGUCCGAUUAGCUAGUUGGCGGGGUAAGAGCCUACCAAGGCGACGAUCGGUAGCUGGUCUGAGAGGAUGAUCAGCCACACUGGGACUGAGACACGGCCCAGACUCCUACGGGAGGCAGCAGUGGGGAAUAUUGGACAAUGGGCGCAAGCCUGAUCCAGCAAUGCCGC